AGAAGAGAAUGCGGCCACAGAAAUCCAGGAGACAGAGAAAGAGUGUCAUUCAGAUGCCUUUCGAUUGAUGAAAUACAACGUCAUCACUGCAUCCAAAUUUACUAGUAGCAAAAGUCCACUUCUGGUUCAAAGGCACAAUGUCAUCCCAGGAAUUUUUUUGAUGUAUAUUCGGGGAAAAUUACUAUUUGCCAACUUUAUUUUCAAUGGUUAUGGCACAUCUGCUAAGGAUCUUCAAAAGCAAACUGUGAAGACAAGGAGUGAUUAUCAUAUGGGAUAUUUCCUACCCAAUGACUUCAGGAUCCGGGCUCAACCUACUUCGUGUUUUGAAAAUGAGGAUACAUUUCUCUAAAAACAAAACUGACAUAACAAAAACAACCUAGCCAAAGAAAUCCUUGGCAUCAUGCGGUAUCCAAUUCAAAUAGAAAGUACUAUAGAAAAAGCUAAUUUGACUACACUGGUUUUAAUCAGCGCCAAAAAUAUUAGCAGCGU
ensembl:lncRNA